rnacentral:rRNA from 1 species
UGCCUAGGAAUCUGCCUGGUAGUGGGGGACAACGUUUCGAAAGGAACGCUAAUACCGCAUACGUCCUACGGGAGAAAGCAGGGGACCUUCGGGCCUUGCGCUAUCAGAUGAGCCUAGGUCGGAUUAGCUAGUUGGUGAGGUAAUGGCUCACCAAGGCGACGAUCCGUAACUGGUCUGAGAGGAUGAUCAGUCACACUGGAACUGAGACACGGUCCAGACUCCUACGGGAGGCAGCAGUGGGGAAUAUUGGACAAUGGGCGAAAGCCUGAUCCAGCCAUGCCGCGUGUGUGAAGAAGGUCUUCGGAUUGUAAAGCACUUUAAGUUGGGAGGAAGGGNUGUANAUUAAUACUCUGCNNUUUUGACGUUACCGACAGAAUAAGCACCGGCUAACUCUGUGCCAGCAGCCGCGGUAAUACAGAGGGUGCAAGCGUUAAUCGGAAUUACUGGGCGUAAAGCGCGCGUAGGUGGUUCGUUAAGUUGGAUGUGAAAUCCCCGGGGCUCAACCUGGGAACUGCAUUCAAAACUGUCGAGCUAGAGUAUGGUAGAGGGUGGUGGAAUUUCCUGUGUAGCGGUGAAAUGCGUAGAUAUAGGAAGGAACACCAGUGGCGAANGCGACCACCUGGACUGAUACUGACACUGAGGUGCGAAAGCGUGGGGAGCAAACAGGAUUANAUACCCUGGUAGUCCACGCCGUAAACGAUGUCAACUAGCCGUUGGGAGCCUUGAGCUCUUAGUGGCGCAGCUAACGCAU